AUUGAACGCUGGCGGCAGGCCUAACACAUGCAAGUCGAGCGGAUGAAGGGAGCUUGCUCCUGGAUUCAGCGGCGGACGGGUGAGUAAUGCCUAGGAAUCUGCCUGGUAGUGGGGGAUAACGUCCGGAAACGGGCGCUAAUACCGCAUACGUCCUGAGGGAGAAAGUGGGGGAUCUUCGGACCUCACGCUAUCAGAUGAGCCUAGGUCGGAUUAGCUAGUUGGUGGGGUAAAGGCCUACCAAGGCGACGAUCCGUAACUGGUCUGAGAGGAUGAUCAGUCACACUGGAACUGAGACACGGUCCAGACUCCUACGGGAGGCAGCAGUGGGGAAUAUUGGACAAUGGGCGAAAGCCUGAUCGAGCCAUGCCGCGUGUGUGAAGAAGGUCUUCGGAUUGUAAAGCACUUUAAGUUGGGAGGAAGGGAAGUAAGUGAAUACCUUGCUGUUUUGACGUUACCAACAGAAUAAGCACCGGCUAACUUCGUG
rnacentral:rRNA from 1 species